rnacentral:rRNA from 1 species
CAGUCGCCGCGGUAAUACGUAGGGUGCGAGCGUUAAUCGGAAUUACUGGGCGUAAAGCGUGCGCAGGCGGUUUUGUAAGACAGGCGUGAAAUCCCCGGGCUCAACCUGGGAAUGGCGCUUGUGACUGCAAAGCUAGAGUGCGGCAGAGGGGGAUGGAAUUCCGCGUGUAGCAGCGAAAUGCGUAGAUAUGCGGAGGAACACCGAUGGCGAAGGCAAUCCCCUGGGCCUGCACUGACGCUCAUGCACGAAAGCGUGGGGAGCAAACAGGAUUAGAUACCCCUGUAGUCCCUGUCUCUUAUAC